rnacentral:rRNA from 1 species
CCCUUAGAUGUUCUGGGCCGCACGCGUGCUACACUGAGUGGAUCAGCGGGUCAGGUUGCGCGAAAGCGUUUCCUAAUCUUUAAAUCCGCUCGUGAUGGGGAUUGACGGUUGCAAUUUUCUGUCAUGAACGAGGAAUACCUUGUAAGCGCGGGUCAUCAUCCCGCGCUGAAUACGUCCCUGCCCUUUGUACACACCGCCCGUCGCUACUACCGAUUGGAUGGUUUAGUGAGAUCCUCGGAUUGGUCCCGGAGCGGCCUCUGGUCGUGCCGGAGUGCCGAAAAGAAUGUCGAACUUGAUCAUCUAGAGGAAGUAAAAGUCGUAACA